rnacentral:rRNA from 1 species
AACCGGCAGACGAGAUAGUAAUAAGUAGGUACGAACCUCAAAGUCAGGAAUAGCUAGUCGAAAGAUUAGGUAAUACUUGAUGGUCCCGCAAGGGUAAAGAUUUAUCGCUUUGAGAUCGGCCUGCUCGGUAUCAGCUAGUUGGUAAGGUAAUGGCUUACCAAGGCAAUGACGCCUAGGGGGGGUGAGAGCCUGUUCCCCAUCGAUGGAACUGAGAUACGGUCCAUACACCUACGGGUGGCUGCAGUCGAGAAUAUUCGACAAUGGGCGAAAGCCUGAUCGAGCGACGCCGCGUGCAGGAUGAAGUGCUUCGGUAUGUAAACUGCUUUUGUAGACUAGAAAGUUUAUUGAUCGGUCUAAGAAUAAGAGGUUGCUAAACUCGUGUACGUG